GUUAAUCUUAAUAACUAGCCGAAGACAGUAGGUGACGCAAGUCUUAAUUUCCUACCGAGGACCAUAUUGAAUGAAAUCAAUAGUCCCUCUAUGUCAACGGUGGCAUGGGGUUUUUUUUGUUGAAAA
rfam:Vagococcus penaei strain CD276, complete genome.